CAAUAGCGUAUAUUAAAGCUGUUGCGGUUAAAGAGCUCGUAGUUGGAUUUCUGUCAAGGACAACUGGUCCGCCCUCCGGGUGAGCACAUAGUUUGGUCUUGGCAUCUUGCUGGAAGCUGUUGCUGCACUUGGCUGUGUGGCGCAGCGUCCAGCACUUUCACUUUGAGGAAAUUGGAGUGUUUCAAGCAGGCACAUGCCUUUGGACACAGUAGCAUGGAAUAAUUAGAUUGGGCUUUUGCUCCAAUUUGUCGGUUUCUGGAGCUGAGGUGAGAAUUAAUGGGGAUUGUUGGGGGCAUCCGAAUUUAGCCGUCAGAGGUGAAAUUCUUGGAUCUGCUAAAGACGGACAACUGCGAAAGCGUUUGCCCAGGAUGUUUUCAUUGA
rnacentral:rRNA from 1 species